GACGAACGCUGGCGGCGUGCUUAACACAUGCAAGUCGAACGGAAAGGCCCUGCUUUUGUGGGGUGCUCGAGUGGCGAACGGGUGAGUAACACGUGAGUAACCUGCCCUUGACUUUGGGAUAACUUCAGGAAACUGGGGCUAAUACCGGAUAGGAGCUCCUGCUGCAUGGUGGGGGUUGGAAAGUUUCGGCGGUUGGGGGUGGACUCGCGGCUUAUCAGCUUGUUGGUGGGGUAGUGGCUUACCAAGGCUUUGACGGGUAGCCGGCCUGAGAGGGUGACCGGCCACAUUGGGACUGAGAUACGGCCCAGACUCCUACGGGAGGCAGCAGUGGGGAAUAUUGCACAAUGGGCGGAAGCCUGAUGCAGCAACGCCGCGUGCGGGAUGACGGCCUUCGGGUUGUAAACCGCUUCCGCCUGUGACGAAGCGUGAGUGACGGUAAUGGGUAAAGAAGCACCGGCUAACUACGUG
rnacentral:rRNA from 1 species